rnacentral:rRNA from 1 species
UCGAGCGGAAGAUGGGAGCUUGCUCCCUGAUGUCAGCGGCGGACGGGUGAGUAACACGUGGGUAACCUGCCUGUAAGACUGGGAUAACUCCGGGAAACCGGGGCUAAUACCGGAUGCUUGAUUGAACCGCAUGGUUCAAUUAUAAAAGGUGGCUUUUAGCUACCACUUACAGAUGGACCCGCGGCGCAUUAGCUAGUUGGUGAGGUAACGGCUCACCAAGGCAACGAUGCGUACCCGACCUGAGAGGGUGAUCGGCCACACUGGGACUGAGACACGGCCCAGACUCCUACGGGAGGCAGCAUUAGGGAAUCUUCCGCAAUGGACGAAAUCUGACGGACCAACUCCGCGCGGGUGAUGAAUGUUUUCGGAUCGUAAAACUCUGUUGUUAGGGAAAAACAAGUACCGCUCUAAUAGGGCGGUACCUUGACGGUA